rnacentral:sRNA from 1 species
GCUGGGCAUGGUGGUGCACGCCUGUAAUCUCAGCAAUUUAGGAGGCUGAGGCAGGAGGAUUAAGUUCAAGGCCAAUGUCAGCAACUUCCCAAGACCCUGCCUCAA